rfam:Moraxella bovis strain CCTG 2133 2133T_ctg_0000036, whole genome shotgun sequence.
UCAUCACCAUCACUCCUAAAUUUCUUUUGGGCGUGUGGCUUUGCUUGAAAGAAAAAAGACUUUCAAGGCGAUGGCACAAAAGACGGUAUCAACCCUUGAAAGCAAUUUCAAGGGUUUUUUGUU